GGGUUGUGAGGUUAAGCGACUAAGCGUACACGGUGGAUGCCCUGGCAGUCAGAGGCGAUGAAGGACGUGCUAAUCUGCGAUAAGCGUCGGUAAGGUGAUAUGAACCGUUAUAACCGGCGAUUUCCGAAUGGGGAAACCCAGUGUGUUUCGACACACUAUCAUUAACUGAAUCCAUAGGUUAAUGAGGCGAACCGGGGGAACUGAAACAUCUAAGUACCCCGAGGAAAAGAAAUCAACCGAGAUUCCCCAGUAGCGGCGAGCGAACGGGGAGCAGCCCAGAGCCUGAAUCAGUGUGUGUGUUAGUGGAAGCGUCUGGAAAGGCGCGCGAUACAGGGUGACAGCCCCGUACACAAAAAUGCACAUAUUGUGAGCUCGAUGAGUAGGGCGGGACACGUGGUAUCCUGUCUGAAUAUGGGGGGACCAUCCUCCAAGGCUAAAUACUCCUGACUGACCGAUAGUGAACCAGUACCGUGAGGGAAAGGCGAAAAGAACCCCGGCGAGGGGAGUGAAAAAGAACCUGAAACCGUGUACGUACAAGCAGUGGGAGCACGCUUAGGCGUGUGACUGCGUACCUUUUGUAUAAUGGGUCAGCGACUUAUAUUCUGUAGCAAGGUUAACCGAAUAGGGGAGCCGAAGGGAAACCGAGUCUUAACUGGGCGUUAAGUUGCAGGGUAUAGACCCGAAACCCGGUGAUCUAGCCAUGGGCAGGUUGAAGGUUGGGUAACACUAACUGGAGGACCGAACCGACUAAUGUUGAAAAAUUAGCGGAUGACUUGUGGCUGGGGGUGAAAGGCCAAUCAAACCGGGAGAUAGCUGGUUCUCCCCGAAAGCUAUUUAGGUAGCGCCUCGUGAAUUCAUCUCCGGGGUAGAGCACUGUUUCGGCAAGGGGGUCAUCCCGACUUACCAACCCGAUGCAAACUGCGAAUACCGGAGAAUGUUAUCACGGGAGACACACGGCGGGUGCUAACGUCCGUCGUGAAGAGGGAAACAACCCAGACCGCCAGCUAAGGUCCCAAAGUCAUGGUUAAGUGGGAAACGAUGUGGGAAGGCCCAGACAGCCAGGAUGUUGGCUUAGAAGCAGCCAUCAUUUAAAGAAAGCGUAAUAGCUCACUGGUCGAGUCGGCCUGCGCGGAAGAUGUAACGGGGCUAAACCAUGCACCGAAGCUGCGGCAGCGACGCUUAUGCGUUGUUGGGUAGGGGAGCGUUCUGUAAGCCUGCGAAGGUGUGCUGUGAGGCAUGCUGGAGGUAUCAGAAGUGCGAAUGCUGACAUAAGUAACGAUAAAGCGGGUGAAAAGCCCGCUCGCCGGAAGACCAAGGGUUCCUGUCCAACGUUAAUCGGGGCAGGGUGAGUCGACCCCUAAGGCGAGGCCGAAAGGCGUAGUCGAUGGGAAACAGGUUAAUAUUCCUGUACUUGGUGUUACUGCGAAGGGGGGACGGAGAAGGCUAUGUUGGCCGGGCGACGGUUGUCCCGGUUUAAGCGUGUAGGCUGGUUUUCCAGGCAAAUCCGGAAAAUCAAGGCUGAGGCGUGAUGACGAGGCACUACGGUGCUGAAGCAACAAAUGCCCUGCUUCCAGGAAAAGCCUCUAAGCAUCAGGUAACAUCAAAUCGUACCCCAAACCGACACAGGUGGUCAGGUAGAGAAUACCAAGGCGCUUGAGAGAACUCGGGUGAAGGAACUAGGCAAAAUGGUGCCGUAACUUCGGGAGAAGGCACGCUGAUAUGUAGGUGAAGUCCCUCGCGGAUGGAGCUGAAAUCAGUCGAAGAUACCAGCUGGCUGCAACUGUUUAUUAAAAACACAGCACUGUGCAAACACGAAAGUGGACGUAUACGGUGUGACGCCUGCCCGGUGCCGGAAGGUUAAUUGAUGGGGUCAGCGCAAGCGAAGCUCUUGAUCGAAGCCCCGGUAAACGGCGGCCGUAACUAUAACGGUCCUAAGGUAGCGAAAUUCCUUGUCGGGUAAGUUCCGACCUGCACGAAUGGCGUAAUGAUGGCUAGGCUGUCUCCACCCGAGACUCAGUGAAAUUGAACUCGCUGUGAAGAUGCAGUGUACCCGCGGCAAGACGGAAAGACCCCGUGAACCUUUACUAUAGCUUGACACUGAACAUUGAGCCUUGAUGUGUAGGAUAGGUGGGAGGCUUUGAAGUGUGGACGCCAGUCUGCAUGGAGCCGACCUUGAAAUACCACCCUUUAAUGUUUGAUGUUCUAACGUUGACCCGUAAUCCGGGUUGCGGACAGUGUCUGGUGGGUAGUUUGACUGGGGCGGUCUCCUCCUAAAGAGUAACGGAGGAGCACGAAGGUUGGCUAAUCCUGGUCGGACAUCAGGAGGUUAGUGCAAUGGCAUAAGCCAGCUUGACUGCGAGCGUGACGGCGCGAGCAGGUGCGAAAGCAGGUCAUAGUGAUCCGGUGGUUCUGAAUGGAAGGGCCAUCGCUCAACGGAUAAAAGGUACUCCGGGGAUAACAGGCUGAUACCGCCCAAGAGUUCAUAUCGACGGCGGUGUUUGGCACCUCGAUGUCGGCUCAUCACAUCCUGGGGCUGAAGUAGGUCCCAAGGGUAUGGCUGUUCGCCAUUUAAAGUGGUACGCGAGCUGGGUUUAGAACGUCGUGAGACAGUUCGGUCCCUAUCUGCCGUGGGCGCUGGAGAACUGAGGGGGGCUGCUCCUAGUACGAGAGGACCGGAGUGGACGCAUCACUGGUGUUCGGGUUGUCAUGCCAAUGGCACUGCCCGGUAGCUAAAUGCGGAAGAGAUAAGUGCUGAAAGCAUCUAAGCACGAAACUUGCCCCGAGAUGAGUUCUCCCUGACUCCUUGAGAGUCCUGAAGGAACGUUGAAGACGACGACGUUGAUAGGCCGGGUGUGUAAGCGCAGCGAUGCGUUGAGCUAACCGGUACUAAUGAACCGUGAGGCUUAACCUUACAACGCCGAAGCUGUU
rnacentral:rRNA from 1 species